rnacentral:rRNA from 1 species
AACGAACGCUGGCGGCAUGCUCAUACAUGCAAGUCGAACGAGACUUCGGGUCUAGUGGCGCACGGGUGAGUAGCGCGUGGGAACCUACCCUUUUGUGGGGGAUAACCGAGGGAAACUUCGGCUAAUACCGCAUACGCCGGGUAACCGGGAAAGAUUUAUCGCAGAAGGAUGGGCCCGCGUCGGAUUAGCUAGUUGGUGGGGUAACGGCCUACCAAGGCUUUGAUCCGUAGCUGGUCUGAGAGGAUGAUCAGCCACACUGGGACUGAGACACGGCCCAGACUCCUACGGGAGGCAGCAGUAGGGAAUAUUGGACAAUGGGCGAAAGCCUGAUCCAGCAAUGCCGCGUGAGUGAGGAAGGCCUUAGGGUUGUAAAGCUCUUUCGGCGGGGACGAUGAUGACGGUACCCGCAGAAGAAGCCCCGGCUAACUUCGUGCCAGCAGCCGCGGUAAUACGAAGGGGGCGAGCGUUGUUCGGAAUUACUGGGCGUAAAGGGCGCGUAGGCGGCCAUCUUUGUCAGGCGUGAAAGCCCUGGGCUCAACCCAGGAAUUGCGCUUGGGACGGGAC